CCGCCGGCGACCGGCGCACGGGUGAGUAACACGUAUGCAACCUGGCCGUGACAGAUGGAUAACCGGGAGAAAUCCCGCCUAAUACAACAUAAUGCCGGGAGGGGACAUCCCCUGCCGGCCAAAGGGGGCGACCCCGGUCACGGACGGGCAUGCGGCGCAUUAGGUAGUUGGUGGGGCAACGGCCCACCAAGCCGACGAUGCGUAGGGGUUCUGAGAGGAAGGUCCCCCACAUUGGAACUGAGACACGGUCCAAACUCCUACGGAAGGCAGCAG
rnacentral:rRNA from 1 species